rnacentral:miRNA from 1 species
CUGGCGGCAACUGCGACAGC